AUUGAACGCUGGCGGCAGGCCUAACACAUGCAAGUCGAACGGAGUAGCGGACUGGUGAGUAAUGUCUGGGAAACUGCCCGAUGGAGGGGGAUAACUACUGGAAACGGUAGCUAAUACCGCAUAAUAUCAGAUGAGCCUAGGUCGGAUUAGCUAGUUGGUGGGGUAAAGGCCUACCAAGGCGACGAUCCGUAACUGGUCUGAGAGGAUGAUCAGUCACACUGGAAACGAGAGACGGUCCAGACUACUACGGGAGGCAGCAGUGGGGAAGAUUGGACAAUGGGCGAAAGCCUGAUCCAGCCAUGCCGCGGGUGUGAAGAAGGUCUUCGGAUUGUAAAGCACUUUAAGUUGGGAGGCGUUACAAACAGAAUGAGCACCGGCUAGCUUCGUGCCAGCCGGCGCGGUAAUAC
rnacentral:rRNA from 1 species